AAACAUAGCCUUUAGCAUAACAAGUAUUAAAGGUCUCGCCUGCCCAGUGAUUCUUUCAACGGCCGCGGUAUCCUAACCGUGCAAAGGUAGCGUAAUCAUUUGUCUCCUAAAUAGAGACUCGUAUGAACGGCUAACUGAGAGCCUAACUGUCUCCUAGGACCAAUCAAUGAAACUGAUCUUCCAGUACAAAAGCUGAAAUACACCCAUAAGACGAGAAGACCCUGUGGAGCUUAAAACACACACUAUUUUUUACCUUUUUCCCCACGGAAUCAACACCCAAAACAUAGUGAUAAGACUUUUUAGUUGGGGCGACUUUGGAAUAAAAGAAAACUUCCAUGAAAGGGCUCCCCCUACCAAGGCCCACUAGCCAAAAUAAUUCUUCUUGACCCAGACAUCUGAUCAACGAACCAAGUUACCCCAGGGAUAACAGCGCCAUCCUCUUCAAGAGUCCAUAUCGCCAAGAGGGUUUACGACCUCGAUGUUGGAUCAGGACAUCCUAGUGGUGCAGCCGCUACUAAGGGUUCGUUUGUUCAACGAUUAACAGU
rnacentral:rRNA from 1 species